rnacentral:piRNA from 1 species
GGGCAUACUCGUAGACCUUGCCUGACUG